UCCGUGUUCACCACGGCAGUCUCCUUAGAGUGCCCAACUGAAUGCUGGCAACUAAGAACAAGGGUUGCGCUCGUUGCGGGACUUAACCCAACAUGUCACCACACGAGCUGACGACAGCCAUGCAGCACCUGUCACUCUGCCGUAUUGCUACGGACCGCACCAUUUCUGGAUUGUUCAGAGGAUGUCAAGCCUAGGUAAGGUUCUGCGCGUUGCUUCGAAUUAAACCACAUGAUCCACCGCUUGUGCGGGCCCCCGUCAAUUCCUUUGAGUUUUAGUCUUGCGACCGUACUCCCCAGGCGGAGCACUUAACGCGUUAGCUACGGCUCAGCAGGGGUCAAGACCCGCUAAACCUAGUGCUCAUCGUUUACGGCGUGGACUAC
rnacentral:misc_RNA from 1 species